rnacentral:rRNA from 1 species
GAGGCAGCAGUGGGGAAUCUUGCGGAAUGGGCGAAAGCCUGACGCAGCGAUGCCGCGUGCGGGACGAAGGCCUUCGGGUUGUAAACCGCUUUCAGCAGGGACGAAAUUGACGGUACCUGCAGACGAAGCCCCGGCCAACUACGUGCCAACAGCCGCGGUAAUACGUAGGGGGCGAGCGUUGUCCGGAUUUAUUGGGCGUAAAGAGCUCGUAGGCGGUUCAGCAAGUCACGUGUGAAAUCUCCACGCUCAACGUGGAGGCGCCACGUGAAACUGCUGUGACUCGAGUCCGGUAGGGGAGCGUGGAAUUCCCGGUGUAGCGGUGAAAUACGCAGAGAUCGGGAGGAACACCCGUAGCGAACGCGGCGCUCUGGGCCGGUACUGACGCUGAGGAGCGAAAGCGUGGGGAGCAAACAGGAUUAGAUACCCUGGUAGUCCACGCCGUAAACCUUGGGCACUAGGUGUGGGGGUCUAUCGACGGUCUCCGUGCCGUAGCUAACGCAUUAAGUGCCCCGCCUGGGGAG